UCCUCUAGUUUUCUCUUCAUCUCACAAUUCCCUCUUCUUUCUUAUUGUUCUCCCUAACGUGAGAAGUUUAUAACAUAUUGUGGUAAGAAAUAAUUCUCAUCUCCCUUUUACCAAUCAGUAAUUUGAAUCUGAAUCGGAGAAGAGAGAGACGCCUGCGGGUUUCGGCAACGGCAGAUAAGAAGUGGAGGAACCGAGUUAAGUUCCGAAUCGCGAAACUCAGAUAUCGAGGUUUGAGAAUUGCGGAAUGUCUCUGAAACCGUCGUACUCGGCGGAGAAUCUGAUGCUUCCGGUAUCGGAUCCUCCCAACGAAGAAGACAGAGAGAGGCUUUUGAAGAGCGAUAGUAAGACCUUCCGAGGACGAAGGAUUUACGCUGCCAUCUCUUACAUGUCAUGUGCAGUGCUCUUGAUACUGUUCAAUAAAGCUGUUCUUUCCUCUUAUGGCUUCCCGUCUUCGAGUAUCGUCACGCUUCUUCAGAUGGUAUGUUCAUGUUGUUUUCUUUAUGUAUUGAGGCGCUGGAGGAUGAUUUCUCUCAUAGCAGGCGAAUCAGUUAUUACAGCAGAUAACUCGAAGAAGUUUGUGCCACUGAGGACUUUGAAGCACACUCUUCCUCUAGCAGGAGCAUAUUUACUUUACAUGUUAGUCACUAUGGAGUCUGUUCGUGGAGUAAAUGUUCCAAUGUACACCACCCUUAGGAGGACCACAGUGGUAUUUACAAUGCUUGUAGAAUAUAUGCUGAUGGGGCAUAGGUACACAUCUUCUGUCGCUUUCAGUGUUGGCUUGAUUGUCUUCGGUGCAUUUAUUGCGGGAGCACGGGAUUUCUCCUUUGAUACCUAUGGCUAUGCCCUUGUUUUCCUGUCAAACAUCACCACAGCUAUAUAUCUUGCAAUGAUAGCCCGUGUUGGAAAAACUAGUGGCCUUAAUAGCUUUGGCCUUAUGUGGUGCAAUGGUAUCAUAUGUGGGCCCUUUUUGUUUAUUUGGACAUUAGUACAGGGUGACUUGAAGAUGACACUCAACUUUCCAUACCUUUUUUCACCUGGUUUUAUUGUUGUUUUGUUUUUUUCCUGCAUACUUGCUUUCUUCCUGAAUUACAGUAUUUUUCUGAACACAACUCUCAAUUCAGCUCUGGCUCAGACAAUAUGUGGUAAUCUGAAGGUUUGUUCACUCGUUAGCUGUGUUGCCAUAAAUGUGUUUUGUAUUGUUCCAGAUUGGCACUGAUAAUGUAUAAGCGUUCUAUUUUAUGGUGUCAUCAUAGUACCUAAUUACUGCAUUGACUUUUGCAAGGACCAAGUAGGUGGAGUGAAUAUUUUCUGGUAAAUUAUAAAUUUGACAAUUAUUAGGGUAGAAACAGAGGUGCGGUGGUGCACUUGCCUAUUAAAACUUGGAAACUGGGGAAAUCUACUAGUACUUUUUGGUGUGGAGUGAGAGAGAGAGAGAGGGAGCAAGUAUAAGGAACUAUUAAUUGCUUAUGACAUUGGUUCGUGUUAAGAGGAUAGGGUGCACUUGGUUGUGAGGCAAUUCGAACUGUACUCUCUGAAUAGUGAGGGGUAUUUAAAUAUGAAUUUGGCUCUCGUAUUCGUCAGAGAGGAUAAAUUGUAAUGAUAAAUGUACAUUAAACAAUUGAUGAAAAAGAAGACUUCACAUUUUAGUGCAGAAUAGUUGUUUCUGAUUGAUGGGUCAUAGUAAUGAUCUUUGAUUGACAUAGGGAAACCCUUAAUUAAGACUUAGUGCUAGAGUAGGAUUUUAUCUUUGGUUCCUCCCUUUUUAUUGAAUCAAAAUAUGCCACUUCUCAACACAAUAUUGUGCUUUGUUUCUUAUUUUAGAAUACACCAAAGAUAGGAUAUGUUUACCUGACGCGGCCUACUUAAAACUUACUACAAUAUCUUCAUUUUAAUUGGAUUAAGGAUCUAUUCACUAUUAGCUUUGGCUGGAUAAUUUUUGGUGGGCUACCAUUUGAUUUUGUGAGUAUUCUUGUCCCGACUGAUUUUUUAUCAUUUGAGGUAUUUUUCUUGUUGAUAUGCCUUUUUGUUGCAGUGGAAUGUAUUGGGACAACUUCUGGGUUUUGUGGGCUCUGGUUUAUUUGCCUACAAUAAGCUCAUCGGCAAAUAACUCCCUCAAGUUUGUGCAGUUGAUGUAUUCAUGGGUUAGGAACUACCAUUUGCAUCUGUUAUCUGACCUUCACUACAUCCCUUUACAAGGAGAACCUUUAGAAGGAGAAAUAUCUGAAUUGAUUCUACAGUACUCUAAUCUAAUUUAUAGGGAGAUUUUGUUGUCAAAAUUGAUAUCAAUACAUAUCUCAUGGCCUUAGUACAUUCUACCUGCCUUUGAUCCAGCGAUGAGUUCACCUACAUGGAGGGAAUUUUUUUGAGUUUACAUGUAUUUAUUCAUUUUUUUUGGGUGGUUGAAGAAGUCAGGAUCAGAGAAGGGACAGUAAGCUUAACAGUUUUUGAGGUUCGAAUGUAGGAUAUAGAUAUCCAUUUCUGGACUUCACAUGUAUCUGUUCGUUAUACUUUUGGGAAAGUAAGCUAAACGAGAGUCAAUUAUAAGAUCAUAUUUAUAUCC